rnacentral:rRNA from 1 species
AACGAACGCUGGCGGCAUGCCUAACACAUGCAAGUCGAACGAGACCUUCGGGUCUAGUGGCGCACGGGUGCGUAACGCGUGGGAACCUGCCCUUAGGUUCGGAAUAACUCCCCGAAAGGGGUGCUAAUACCGGAUAAUGUCUUCGGACCAAAGAUUUAUCGCCUUUGGAUGGGCCCGCGUUGGAUUAGCUAGUUGGUAGGGUAAAAGCCUACCAAGGCGACGAUCCAUAGCUGGUCUGAGAGGAUGAUCAGCCACACUGGGACUGAGACACGGCCCAGAAUCCUGCGGGAGGCAGCAGUGGGGAAUAUUGGACAAUGGGCGAAAGCCUGAUCCAGCAAUGCCGCGUGAGUGAUGAAGGCCUUAGGGUUGUAAAGCUCUUUUACCCGGGAUGAUAAUGACAGUACCGGGAGAAUAAGCUCCGGCUAACUCCGUG